GUUCAAGAACUGAAUUUAAUGGUUAAGAGGGACAACUCGGGGGCAUUCGUAUCCCUGCGCGAGAGGUGAAAUUCGUGGACCGCAGGGGGACGCCCUAAAGCGAAAGCAUUUGCCAAGAAUGUCUUCAUUAAUCAAGAACGAAAGUCAGAGGUUCGAAGGCGAUUAGAUACCGCCCUAGUUCUGACCGUAAACUAUGCCAUCUAGCGAUCCAAUGGGGUAUUGUAGCCUUGUUGGGGAGCUUCCCGGAAACGAAAGUCUUUCGGUUCCUGGGGUAGUAUGGUUGCAAAGCUGAAACUUAAAGAAAUUGACGGAAGGGCACCACCAGGAGUGGAGCCUGCGGCUUAAUUUGACUCAACACGGGAAAACUCACCCGGCCCGGACACCGUUAGGAUUGACAGAUUGAAAGCUCUUUCUCGAUUUGGUGGUUGGUGGUGCAUGGCCGUUCUUAGUUGGUGGAGCGAUUUGUCUGGUUUAUUCCGAUAACGAGCGAGACUCUAGCCUGCUAAAUAGUAUCCAGAUUUUCAGGUCUGGUUGACUUCUUAGAGGGAUAAGCGGUGUUUAGCCGCACGAGAUUGAGCGAUAACAGGUCUGUGAUGCCCUUAGAUGUUCGGGGCUGCACGCGCGCUACACUGGAAGAAUCAGCUGGUCCUUCCAUUGCCGAAAGGUAUUGGUAAACCGUUGAAACUCUUCCGUGACCGGGAUAGGGAAUUGUAAUUAUUUCCCUUGAACGAGGAAUUCCUAGUAAGUGUGAGUCAUCAGCUCACGUUGAUUACGUCCCUGCCCUUUGUACACACCGCCCGUCGCUGUCCGGGACUGAGCUGUUUCGAGAAGAGUGGGGACUGCUAUAUCGGGGCUUUCGGGCUCUGGUAUGAUGGAAACCAUUUUAAUCGCAAUGGCUUGAACCGGGCAAAAGUCGUA
rnacentral:rRNA from 1 species